GGUCCGUUCGUCUAGGGGCUAGGACGCAAGAUUCUCAUUCUUGUAACACGAGUUCGAUUCUCGUACGGACUA
rnacentral:tRNA from 1 species